UAUGGCCACAUCACGUUUAAACACCUUUUCCCGUACGAUCACCGAGGUUAAGCAACGCCAAGCCUGGUCAGUACCUAGAUGGGUGACUGCUUGUGAAUACUAUGUUAUG